rnacentral:sRNA from 1 species
AAUUGUGGAAAUGCCGUAGUAAGUGUC